rnacentral:lncRNA from 1 species
AAUUCCCUUUUUAACUUUGUAUUUAAUAUAUGUACACUCUCCCUUGUCUGUAUUUUGGAUUUUUAAUUGUUUUGGUGCAUCUUGAUAAAUGUGAAAAAAAUCAACUUACUACCAAAAAAUAAAACUUACCCUCCAAAGCUCAGGAAUCUGGUCCGAUCAAAAUUAAAUAUAGCCUCAAGUAAGUAAAUCAGAAUUACGUCUAAAAGUAUGUAUCUGUCUCCAUUUGUGAAAUAUAUAUUUAUAAAAAUAAUUAAAGUUGUGACGUUCGUAGGAUUAUUUAUUAUUGAUAAUUCGGAAAAAGGAAAAUAGUACAUCUAAUUAAUAUACAGGGCUAAAUCGGCCACAAAGUCUGAGUGACUUAUAAUGGUAGUCAAAUUUAAAAGCCUCGUGCUCUCCUAUCCUCUGGGAAUUCAAUCCAUAUUUAGCAUCUUACGUGUACCAUCUUUGAAGAUUACAAUUGUAUACCUAUGGAAAUGAAAUCAGGAGAGCUGAAGGCACCACUUCAGCAUCGCUAUUGCAAGAUAACUGAAUUUUCACCUCCAGUGUUUCCUUGAAGUGAUCACUCGCUCCCAUUGUCUGCAAAUGUAUCUUCUAUAUCUUCGUUUUCCGAAUUAAUUUUUCCAUGAAAUACUAAUAGUGGUGUACAUGAAGUUUAGCUUAUAGGCUACAUUAAAAAUAAUUCUAGGAAAAAUUGACCUUAAAUGCGCUCUUAUACCAAAAUAAAGGAGCACGGCAUUAUUAGCAAGCCACUUUAGAAAUAAAUUAAAAUUGUCAAUUGUG